rfam:Tncultured bacterium clone WF16S_47 16S ribosomal RNA gene, partial sequence.
GGAAUUCAGAGUUUGAUCCUGGCUCAGGAUGAACGCUGGCGGCGUGCUUAACACAUGCAAGUCGAACGCUUCCUAUCGGUGCUUGCACCGAGAAAGAAGAGUGGCGGACGGGUGAGUAACACGUGGGUAACCUACCUAUAAGCGGGGGAUAACAUUCGGAAACGGAUGCUAAUACCGCAUAUAUCUUUUCGCCUCCUGGCGAUUAGAAAAAAGACGGCUUCGGCUGUCACUUAUAGAUGGACCCGCGGCGCAUUAGUUAGUUGGUGAGGUAAUGGCUCACCAAGACGAUGAUGCGUAGCCGACCUGAGAGGGUGAUCGGCCACACUGGGACUGAGACACGGCCCAGACUCCUACGGGAGGCAGCAGUAGGGAAUCUUCCGCAAUGGACGAAAGUCUGACGGAGCAACGCCGCGUGAGUGAAGAAGGUUUUCGGAUCGUAAAACUCUGUUGUUAGAGAAGAACAAGGGUGAGAGUAACUGUUCACCCCUUGACGGUAUCUAACCAGAAAGCCAUGGCUAACUACGUGCCAGCAGCCGCGGUAAUACGGAGGAUGCGAGCGUUAUCCGGAUUUAUUGGGUUUAAAGGGUGCGUAGGCGGUUGUGUAAGUUAGUGGUCAAAUGUCAUGGCUCAACCUUGGCUUGCCAUUAAAACUGCACGACUCGAGUACAGACGAGGUAGGCGGAAUAAGUUAAGUAGCGGUGAAAUGCAUAGAUAUAACUUAGAAUUCCGAUAGCGAAGGCAGCUUACCAGACUGUAACUGACGCUGAUGCACGAGAGCAUGGGUAGCGAACAGGAUUAGAUACCCUGGUAGUCCAUGCCGUAAACGAUGCUCACUGGCUCUGUGCGACACAUUGUACGGGGUCAAGCGAAAGUAUUAAGUGAGCCACCUGGGGAGUACGUCGGCAACGAUGAAACUCAAAGGAAUUGACGGGGGCCCGCACAAGCGGAGGAACAUGUGGUUUAAUUCGAUGAUACGCGAGGAACCUUACCUAGGUUUAAAUGUAGUCUGCAUGACGUAGAAAUAUGUCUUUCCUUCGGGACCGAUUACAAGGUGCUGCAUGGUUGUCGUCAGCUCGUGCCGUGAGGUGUCGGGUUAAGUCCCAUAACGAGCGCAACCCUUGUCUUAUGUUGCCAGCACGUGAUGGUGGGGACUCAUGAGAAACUGCCGGGGUUAACUCGGAGGAAGGCGGGGAUGACGUCAAAUCAGCACGGCCCUUACACCUAGGGCUACACACGUGUUACAAUGGCCGGUACAGAGGGCAGCUACUUGGUGACAAGAUGCGAAUCUCGAAAGCCGGUCGUAGUUCGGAUUGGAGUCUGUAACCCGACUCCAUGAAGUUGGAUUCGCUAGUAAUCGCGCAUCAGCCAUGGCGCGGUGAAUACGUUCCCGGGCCUUGUACACACCGCCCGUCAAGCCAUGGAAGCCGGGGGUGCCUGAAGUCCGUAACCGCAAGGAUCGGCCUAGGGCAAAACUGGUGACUGGGGCUAAGUCGUAACAAGGUAGCCGUACCGGAAGGUGCGGCUGGAUCACCUCCUUG